rnacentral:rRNA from 1 species
UACAGAGGGUGCGAGCGUUACUCGGAAUUACUGGGCGUAAAGCGUGCGUAGACGGUUAUGUAAGUCGGAUGUGAAAGCCCCGGGCUCAACCUGGGAAUUGCAUUCGAGACUGCAUGGCUUGGGUGCGGAAGAGGGAAGCGGAAUUUCCGGUGUAGCGGUGAAAUGCGUAGAGACCCGGAGGAACACCAGUGGCGAAGGCGGCUUCCUGGUCUGCGACUGACGCUGUGGCGCGAAAGCUAGGGGAGCAAACGGG